UACGAAGGGGGCUAGCGUUGUUCGGAAUUACUGGGCGUAAAGCGCGCGUAGGCGGCGAUCUUUGUCAGAGGUGAAAUCCCGAGGCUCAACUUCGGAAUUGCCUUUGAAACGGGAUCGCUAGAGUCCGAGAGAGGGUGGCGGAAUUCCUAGUGUAGAGGUGAAAUUCGUAGAUAUUAGGAAGAACACCGGUGGCGAAGGCGGCCACCUGGCUCGGUACUGACGCUCAGGCGCGAAAGCGUGGGGAGCAAACAGG
rnacentral:rRNA from 1 species